rnacentral:miRNA from 2 species
GAAGAAGAGAGAUGGUAGAG